rnacentral:rRNA from 1 species
CCUACGGGAGGCAGCAGUGAGGAAUAUUGGUCAAUGGGCGAGAGCCUGAACCAGCCAAGUCGCGUGAAGGAUGACGGCCCUACGGGUUGUAAACUUCUUUUGUCAGGGAGUAAUUGGGUCCACGCGUGGGCUUAGCGAGAGUACCUGAAGAAAAAGCAUCGGCAAACUCCGUGCCAGCAGCCGCGGUACUACGGAGGAUGCGAGCGUUAUCCGGAUUUAUGGGGUUUAAAGGGUGCGUAGGCGGAAUAUCAAGUCAGCGGUAAAAAUUCGGGGCUCAACCCCGUCGUGCCGUUGAAACUGAUGUUCUUGAGUGGGCGAGAAGUAUGCGGAAUGCGUGGUGUAGCGGUGAAAUGCAUAGAUAUCACGCAGAACUCCGAUUGCGAAGGCAGCAUACCGGCGCCCAACUGACGCUGAAGCACGAAAGCGUGGGUAUCGAACAGGAUUAGAUACCCGAGUAGUC